CCUACGGGAGGCAGCAGUGGGGAAUUUUGGACAAUGGGCGCAAGCCUGAUCCAGCCAUGCCGCGUGCGGGAAGAAGGCCUUCGGGUUGUAAACCGCUUUUGUCAGGGAAGAAAUCCUUUGGGUUAAUACCUCGGAGGGAUGACGGUACCUGAAGAAUAAGCACCGGCUAACUACGUGCCAGCAGCCGCGGUAAUACGUAGGGUGCGAGCGUUAAUCGGAAUUACUGGGCGUAAAGCGUGCGCAGGCGGUUAUGCAAGACAGAUGUGAAAUCCCCGGGCUCAACCUGGGAACUGCAUUUGUGACUGCAUAGCUAGAGUACGGUAGAGGGGGAUGGAAUUCCGCGUGUAGCAGUGAAAUGCGUAGAUAUGCGGAGGAACACCGAUGGCGAAGGCAAUCCCCUGGACCUGUACUGACGCUCAUGCACGAAAGCGUGGGGAGCAAACAGGAUUAGAUACCCUGGUAGUCCACGCCCUAAACGAUGUCAACUGGUUGUUGGACGGCUUGCUGUUCAGUAACGAAGCUAACGCGUGAAGUUGACCGCCUGGGGAGUACGGCCGCAAGGUUGAAACUCAAAUGAAUUGACGGCUGAGAGNGCGAGCGACACGAGGGAGGAGG
rnacentral:rRNA from 1 species